GACGAACGCUGGCGGCGUGCUUAACACAUGCAAGUCGAGCGAGACCCCGCUUUCGGGUGGGUGUUCUAGCGGCGAACGGGUGAGUAACACGUGGGCAACCUGCCCUCAGCUCUGGGAUAACUCCAAGAAAUUGGGGCUAAUACCGGAUAUGACCGCUGACCGCAUGGUCUGAUGGUGGAAAGAUUUAUCGGCUGGGGAUGGGCCCGCGGCCUAUCAGCCUGUUGGUGGGGUAGUGGCCUACCAAGGCGACGACGGGUAGCCGGCCUGAGAGGGUGACCGGCCACACUGGGACUGAGACACGGCCCAGACUCCUACGGGAGGCAGCAGUGGGGAAUAUUGCGCAAUGGGCGAAAGCCUGACGCAGCGACGCCGCGUGGGGGAUGACGGCCUUCGGGUUGUAAACCUCUUUCAGCAGGGACGAAGCGAAAGUGACGGUACCUGCAGAAGAAGCACCGGCCAACUACGUGCCAGCCGCCGCCGUAA
rnacentral:rRNA from 1 species